AGGAAUAAGCAAUUUCAAUCAACUUUGGCUCUGACCCUUUUAAACCACCAAAGCAAAUUCCAAAUGGCACACCCUUUUCAUAUCCUGCUGGAACACUCACUCCAGGAUAACCUCCAAUAGCAAGUAUGUGACUAAAGGACCAAAAAGGUGUUACUACAGCAUCAAGUUUAUUUAUUUUCAUCAGUUUCUCAAACCCAUUUUCUGACCAUCUUGUCAUGUUUAAUAAUGCUUGUUUUUCUGCUUUACCAAUUCCAUUUGUCUUUUCAGCUUGCACCAUGACAUCUUGGCCAUACUCCAUUUUCUCCUACAACUUUUAUAUAACAAUUAAGAUCCUAUCGUGAUAAUAUUAAUUAAUAAAUCCAAAAACAAAUAAACAAAAGGAAUGUUCUCAUAUAUACACUGACCAAUUUUGGGUGUUUCUUGUUGAAGGCUAUCACAUCUGCCAAGCUUUUCACUGGCGAAGCAACCAAAUCUUUGAGGUAUGCAUUCACGGAUAAUUUGAAUUCAAACUUCAAAGCAAUCUGUUCACUUUGACCACUGAUAAUUUCAUCAAUGUUAUCAAUCUUCAAAUUGUCAACCAAAACUGCACCUCUUUGCCUGAUAAUUCCAUCAAUGUUCUCAGUUAAUAGAGUUGUUUGCCGGAAAUGAGAAAUUUAGGAUGACAGAUGAAUCUUUAUUAAAAGAAUGAAAUGAACUGAAUUACAAAUAUCCGAGAUACUACUGUCCACAACGAUGAUCUACAAUGAUAACUACUUACAUUCUACUAGCUGUAAUAGUCUCUUCUGAUUGCCAACUAACUAAAAUGCAGUUAGUUAGUUAGUUAGUUAGUCCCUUCCUAUGAAGCACAUAAACGGACACAGACACGUCGACACCGCUAAUAAUUUGAGAAAAUCACAUAAUUCAGUGUAAUUAUAUGUGUCGAUGUCGGACACAUGUAAUUCGAGGAGUGUCCGUGCUUCAUAGGUCCCUUCUUAUGCUUCGAAAUUUACACCUUAAAUGGAAGGUCUUCACUCCUUAACAUACAUCUUCAAAUUCUAACAUAGUUUAAUGUAAACGUAAAUAGGUCUGAGUGAAGUGUGGUUCUUUUAACUCCUUUUCAGAACAGAUAGGGAACGUAACAAGCUAUAAUUUGUCGUCAUUCCCCAAAUUUUGGACAGUUUAAAUUGCGUAGUGACAUUUAUACUUUAUCAGCAGAAAAGUUUGGGUAACAAAAAACUUUAAUUUUAAGAGCUCUAGAUCACAUCGUUUAACAUAAUAAAUAAAGCUUCAUUAGCAGUAUUAAGACUUGACAAAUAAUAGUUUUAGACUUAGUUACCUUAACGUGUUUAGGUGUAGCUUGAAAGUUUCAUGCAUAAAAGUGUCAUUUCCAAAAUUGUAGUAGUGUCUCACUACUCCUAAUCUCUUUCCUCUUAGUCCAUUUUUCUUUAGAAAUUGAGCAUAGCCGCCUUUUGGGAUAUACUUCGAUGCUUCAAUUGUUGCGUUAUUAAAAGUGUCGAUGGCUGCUAUGGUUUCAAGAACAUAAGCAGCAUCUGAUACGGUCCUGCAAAUUGGCCUGUACAAAACCUCACAAUCAAUGUUACACAUUUAUUAUAGCAACAUGUCUUUUGACAGGGAAAAUGAGUAAACAGUCAUUUCAGUCCUUGAAAUUAUAACCAUCUAUCAAUUUAGCUUUAGCCCCUCAAAUUUACGAAAUAGCGAGUUAGUCCCUUACAUUGGAAAAUAUCAAUCAAUUAGGUUUUUUUUUUUUUCUUCAAAAUUUUCACCACAACCUUAAAGGUUCUAUGUCUGUUUUAAUGUAGCAAAAGAUUAUUCAAGUCUGGUGAGUCCGUGGGAUCCAACUCACCUAAACUUUUGUAUCCCAAAAAAAAAUACUAUCGAAGUCAAUAUGCAUGUCUUUUAUUGGUUUUGAUGGAUGUUUACUAAAGAAAUAUUAAUAUGGAGGGACUACAUUGAUUGACAUUCUUUAGUUUAAGUGACUAAUUUGACCAUCCUUAAUCAUUUUAAGGACUAAAAUGUCUACAUAUAGGCUUACCCAACUGUGUCUUGCCUUGGGCUAACUGGAACUACACCUGCUCUACUAGUGAGACCAACUGUUGGUUUGAUGCCUACUACUGAAUUCAUAUUUGAAGGGCAUAAAAUGGAGCCAUCGGUUUCAGUACCAAGUGACAGAGUCACCAAAUUUGCAGCUACUGAUAUUGCUGAUCCACUACUUGAUCCACAGGGUUCACCCAAUGUGUAUGGAUUCUGCACAACACAAAAUGUGUGAACUCCUCUUUAUUUUCUAGAAUCAUUUAUAGCAAAGUUCCAAUGAGAAGAAGACAUAAUGAAUCCAUGUCUUCAGGCCUAUGAAAAAAUCACUUAAUAUUAGUGACUAGUAUUUUUUAAAAAGGUAUCAUAAACUAGCAAAAAGGCACAACCUACGGUUCUCUGACUUAACACAAAAAGACUUAUUACAAAUUAGUUUGAUGUAGCCUAGUUUGGUUCCACACUUGUACCUUUCAGAAUCAUGUAUGUGUUUCGUGAUUUGACUAUAAAUUGUUAUGUUUCGCUUCCAGUUUGAAAUUGAUUUCAGUCCCAAAAUCAAUUUUAUCUAAAACUAACAUUGUAAGUUCUGCAGUGACAAUCAAUUCCCAGAUCUAUCGACGUACACACACACAAUUAUGACAACUAAAUACAUUCUUUAUUGAUUUGCUAUCAGGAAAAUUUGUAAUUACUUAGUACUAGUAGCAUCCAAAUGUACCAUAAUAAGUUGUAUUGUAAACCAUACAAAAUAACAUGACUUAAUUAAUAUAUCAGAUUCUGAACAGUAGCAAAUUACCUUUCCUAGUCCACCUCUGGCACUCCAACCAUUAGGAGCUCCAAAAGUCCUGAAAUGUGACCACUCACUCAAAGUGGCUUUCCCCAAUAUGAUAGCACCAGCUUCCCUUAACUUGGUAACAACACCUGCAUCUCUUGGCACAACUGAUCCAAGCAAUGCAAAAGAGCCAGCAGUAGUGUUCAAUUUAUCCUUAGUUGCAAUGUUAUCCUUAACCAAAAUAGGUAUUCCAUGCAACCUUGAAAGAGAACUUGGUGUUUUUUCCCUUCUCUCUUGAUCAGCUUUAUCUGCUUCUGCUAAUGCAUCUGGAUUGACCUCCAAGACACCUUUGAGAACUGGGUUUUGGAUAUUGAUUUGGUUGAGAUAGAACUCAACAAGCUGUCUUGAUGUUAACUGUUUUGUUUGGAAAGCUAGUUGGAGAUCUUGCACGGUUGCUUCCUUGACUGAGAAUUCAGUGGCUGAGGAUGUUGGUAGCGUAAAGGAAAAUGUAACUACUAGUGUAAAGAAUUGGAAGAAAGAACAUGCAAGUGUUGAAUCCAUGAGUGAUAUGGUAUCUCUCUCUCUCUCCCUUGCUCCUCAGUUUGUUUGGUCCUCGGAACAGUUUUACACUCAAACUCAUUACGAUUGAAGUUGUCCUAUUCAAUCCUUAUUUUUCUUUUGGCAGAUAAAAUAUCCUUUCUAGUUUCUAUCACAAAGGAAAUAUAGUAGUGCUUUUAUCAUAAAUACAAAAUAAAAUUUUAAUAUUUUAAAAUUAAGAGUAAGAUUUAAACGAUACUCCCUCCGUUCCAAAUUAUAUAAAAAAAAACACAUUUUCUUCGUCCCAAAUUUCAAGCAAAAAAGACCACACAUUAAUCAUAUUUAAUUAUGUUAUUUCAAAAAAUCAUCUUUUCUAAAGUAAAAUUAAAUGCUAAUUUCAUUCAAUUUGUUUUUCUUUAUACUUUCUCCAUGAUCAAUAACCAAUCAAAAUUAUUUUUAAAUCCUCCUAUAAAACUUAUUCUAAGAGGAACACAAAAAAAUAUAUCGCAAAUUAUUAUGUUUUAGUUUUCUUAAUAAGUGUGUUUUGAAUUUUUCAUGUUAAGUUAAGAAACUAAAAAGAAAAUUGAAAGAUAUAAUUUUGUAUUGAAUAGAAAAUUUUAAACGAAGGCUCUAUUUGGUAAAAAUAAGUUAUAAGUUAGCUGAUAGCUGAUAGUUUAUAGCUGAAAAGCUAACUGUUUGAAAUUAAUGUGUUUGGUAAAAUUAGCUUUUGAAAUGUGUGAUAAAUAUAAAAUGACAUAAAAGUACAUGUAUCUUUAUUUUUUAUAAGGUUAAUAGCUGUGAAGCCCGGAUACGAGAUACGAUACGGAUACGAUACUGCACCGAUACGUCGAUACGGCAAAAUUUCAAAAAUCAAGAUACGAUACGGCUGAGAUACGUUAAUAAAAAAAUUAUAUAAUUAAAUGUACUAUAUAAUUAUAACCAUUUUUUUAUUAUGCAAGUAUAUUAACAAACACAAGAAACCAGACUCGUAGCACAUUAAUAUAAAUAUAAUAUUGACGAUUAAGAGAGUGGUCAUUAGUCAAUUACAUACGCAAUAUAUACCAAAAUUAAGAGCACCAUCAGUGUUAUACAUCAAUGCUACACUAUAUCCAAAAUGAACUUGUUAGUGAUAUACUAUAUCGAUCCAAAAAAGAAUCACUAUAUCCAAAAAAAGAACACAUCAGUACUAAGAGUUAACACUAACAAGUAACUGACGUUUACAUCUCCUCUCCUCCAUUCCCAUCAUCAAGAUACAGAUCAACUUCCAAAUCCGGUUCAUCCAAAGACAACUCUGCUAACUCAAUUCCAACACCAUCAAGCGGUUCAUGCGCAUCUCCUCUAAUGUCCCACAUUCUUGAUUGUCCUUUCUUAUAUCCACAUUCUUUCCUUGACAAUAGUCGAAGAUUAAUAUGCACAUAAACCAAAUCUUCUACCCUUUUUGGAUCCAUUUUGUUUCUUUUCAAAGAAUGGAUAAAAGAGAAAGUACUCAAAUUUCUCUCACAACAGGAGGAAGAACAAGGUUGCACAGGAAGCUUUAAAGCAAGCUUUUGGAUAGUUCGACGGUGGCCAAAGUGGACGGCGACCACUUUGGAAGAAAAAGUUGAAACCCUAAUUUCUUAGAAAGGGAAAGAUGCAAUUGGUUGUGUGGUGUGGUGUGGGUCGUACUGGCACCAAAGAAAGAUAAAGGAAAUAUAUAUAUAUUAUAGUAAUAUAAUGUUUUUAUUCUUAUUUUUUACACAAAAAAAAAAAACAGAAAUCAAAAUAAUAUAAAAAAACACAAGUAUCCGUGCGUAUCGGGAUGUAUCGGAAAGUAUCGGAUAAUUAUUUUUUAAAAAAAUAAAAUUUAAUAUUUAGAUACUCUCCGGAUACGUAUCGGAAAGUAUCGGGCAGGUAUCGGUGCAGGAUACGCAGGGGAUACGGUACGUCAUCCAUUUUGAAGUAUCGGGGCUUCACAGGUUAAUAGGCUUUUACCCCCUGUAAUAUAGGUCACUUUUGGUUUUGCCCCCUGUAAAAAUAUUUUUUUGGAUUCGGUCCUUGUAAAUUUUUUUUGUUUUGGAAAACCCCCCUAGACCAGCUGACUGUGCAUUUUUGCUGAUGUGGCAUGCUGCGUCACCUUUUUCGGAUGACGUGGCGCGCUGACUGUAUAAUUAUUUUUAUUUUUUAUUUUUUUAUGGGGUACACGUGGCAUUUAUGAUUUUUUUUUAAAAAAAAUUAAAAAAUUUAUAAAAUAAAUUCUGGAAAAAUAAAAAUAUUUAUGAAAAUGAUUAAAAAACGAAAAUAAUUAUGGAAAAAUGAAAAAAAUCUGGAAAAAUUUAAAAAUUCUAGUAAAAUCUAGAAAAUUUAAAAAAAAAAAAUUAAUAUAUAUCGAAAUUUUCAAAAAAAUUAUUAAAAAAAAUCUGAAUUAAAUUAAAAUUAUUAAAAAAAAUCGAAAUUCUAUAAAUAAAAUUAAUAUAUAUCGAAAUUCUAUUCCUCAUGAUCUAAUGUUAUGUUUUUUUAAUUAUAAAUAUACUUUCCAAUAUUUUGAUUUUCUGUAUAAAAAAUAAAAAAACAAACUUUUUAAUUUCGAAAGAAAAAUCUGAACUUUCAUUUUUAAUUCUAUUCUUACUAGAUUCAUAAAUUUUGAAAUAUUUUAAGUUGCUGAAUUUUUUAUUUUAUUAUAAAAUAAAUCUUCUUAAUUUCGAAAAAAAAUAUGAAUUUUUUUUAUUUUUCCAGAAUUUUUUAAUUUUUCCUCUAUUGAAAAUAAUAUGGAAAUAUGAAUUUUUUGAAAUAUAUUAAUUUUUCCAGAUUUUAUUUUAUUAAAUUUUCUAUAUUUUUUCAUUUUACCAGAUUUUUUAAAUUAUUCCAGAAUUUUUUUUACUAAAUUUUCUAUAUUUUUUCAUUAUUUUUCAUUUACCAGAUUUUUACUAAUUUUUCCAUAAUUAUUUUCGUUUUUUUAAUCAUUUUUAUUAACAUUUUUAUUUUUCUAGAAUUUAUUUUAUUUUUUUUAUAAUAUUGUUACGUUUUUUAAAAAAAAAAUCAUUAAUGCCACAUGUAUCCCAUAAAAAAAAAAAAAUUAUACAGUCAGCGCGCCACGUCAUCCAAAAAAAGUGACGCAACAUGCCACAUCAGCAAAAAUGCACAGUCAGUUGGUCUAGGGGGGUUUGCCAAAACAAAAAAAUUUUACAAGGACCGAAUCCAAAAAAAAAAAAUUACAGGGGGGAAAACCAAAAGUAACCUAUAUUACAGGGGUGUAAAUGCCUAUUAACUCUUUUCUAUAAAUUCCAUUUAUAAAUAUUUUCAUCUGAUAUAUUUAUCUUAAAUAUUUAAUUUAUUUCAAAGUAUUUUUUAUCUUUAAAAUGAUAACUGUGAUUUAUAAAUUUAAUUGAUAUAUUUUUUUAUCAAAUCUUGUCUGACUUCAUUUUUAUAUUUUUUUCAUUUUUUUUUCUUUUUAUUUGAAUCAGUAAAUAAGUUUUAAAAAAUGAUACUAUGAAUAUAUAAGUUCAAUAGAAUGUGUCCCUUUUGGAAGAAUAUUUCAAAGAACUAGAAUUAAUCCUAAAACUUGACCGGAAAAAAAUAAAUAAAUCCUAAAAAAAAAGAACUAGAGUUAAAAAAAAUAAAAAGCAACCGAAAAAAAGAGAAUUGAAGAAAAAUGAAUAAUAAAGUAGUAACUAAGUGGGCAGUUUUCUUCAACCAAAAAAAGGAACGUGGGCAGUUUUUUCCUUUUUAGGGUGCAAUUUAUUUUUAUAAAAAAAAAUAUAUAUUAAAGGUUAAAAUGGAAGAAACGUAAAAAGCUAUAAGUUAUAAGCUAAAAAGCUACUUGAAAUAGCUUCUAAAAAAAAGUUAUAAGCUCGUGAGAAAAGCUUGUUAUCCAACACAUCAUGUUUUCAUCCAACAAGCUUAUAAGCUAGUCCAACAAGGUGUAAGCUAGUUUAUUUGUGUUACCAAACACAGUCAAAAUGUCAUUCAUUUUAAAACAAUUUAUUUAUGGCUAAAAUAUGUUUUUAGUCCCUGCAAAUUAAAAAAAAAAAUAUUGAAAUUCAUCCCUAUAAAUUUUUUUGUUUUUUAAAAAAGUCAUUGGCCCAACUUUCAUGUUGAUUUGACACCUUUAAGUAGACGUGGCAUGUGUUGACUGUGUAAACAUGUGUACGUUGGCAUCUAAAUGGCAAUUAUUUUAUUUUUACUAUUUAAAAAAUCAUGUUAAUAACAAUAAAAAUAAAAUAUAAAUGGAUCUAUGAAGAUUAAUCAUAGCUCAUAAAAUUCAAUUUCGUGAUGUUAAUGAUGAAGAUUGGAACAACAACAAAAUUGGAACAAUAAUAACAAGGUAGUGGCGAAUUCAUUUAGAUUGGAAAAACAACAAGUAAUCAAAAUCCAAAGUGACGAUUGUGUUGCUUAGUUUGUCAGAAUGAUGCAUCGUAACAUGAUGACAAAGCGUUAGAGUCAGAAUCAAAAUCUGGGUUUCAGCAGCGCUAAAUCCGGAGGUUGUGAAUCUGUAAGUCUCGACUUUGAUUUGCAGCUUGAGGCGUUCAGAUCUGGGUUUCUAAAACUCUGUUUUUUUAAAUAACAGCUACUGCAUAAUAAAAAUUCUGCUAUGGAUUUCUAAAACAUAAUGUUCAGAUUUGAGUUUCUUAAUAGGGAAGGAGGAGUUGAGAAUUUUGAAAGAGGUGAUUUUUUUCAAGGAAUAAGAAGAGGUUUGAGAGCAUAAGCAAAAAGCUUCAUGAAGAAGAUGAAGCUUCAAGAAGAAGAUGAAGCUAUUUGUUUUAAUUUAAUGAUGUUAUCUUUUUUUUUAUUUUUUUUAUUUAUAAAUGUUAAAAUAAAUUAUCAAAACGUUUUUUAAUUUUUAAAUAAUACCAAGUCAACAUUAGUGAUACAAUCAGCACAUGCCACGUCUGCUUAAAUCGGCCAAAUCAGCAUAAAAGUGGGUUCAGGAACUAUUUUAAAAAAUAUUUUUUUUUGUAGGGAUGGAUUUCAAAAAAAAUAAAAAUUACCAGGAACCAAAACCCAAAUUCGCUAUAUUUGAAGGGACUAAAAUCAUAUUUCAACCUUUAUUUAUCUAUACAAAAAUAACACUUAUUAUAAGAUAGAUGGCGUCUAAUAUUGAAAUUACCUAGAAUAAUUAAUUAAUCGAUCACUUAGCAAUAUUUCAAAAUCUUAAUCAUUGCCAUUAGUAGGGGUGUAAGGAGUCCGUUUAACUCGAUUUAGAAGAGAGAAAAGAAUUCAAACCAAUAAAAAAUAGUUGAUUUGAUUUUUGUAAUAUUUUCUCACAAAAUCUAAUUUAAACCAAAUAAAACAGACUAAUUCAUUUCAAUUGAUUUGAUAUUUUGAGAAAACAUCGAAUCAUUAAACCUCAGUCCAGUGAUGAGUUUGCUUGUUUCUAAUUCAUAGCUUCUCGUUUGUAAAAUAUUCCAUUUAUUGUUUCUGCUGCUCACACCCUCCUAAAAAACCACCACUUAUCAGCAAUAACUUGUAUACUCCCUAAAAUUGAAACAUGAAAAGUAGUAAUUCAGAUUUUCCUUCUUCACAUGUGAAACACCCUUUAAAUCAUUUUGAGCUUUGUUCAUUUUUCUUCAUCUCCAUAGCCACCCAUGUUCUUGACAUUUCCAUAUAUGCUUUCUCCUUCAUGCUUAACUUAAAGUUCUUCUUCAUCAACAAAAUUGUUCAACAUUAUUUCAUUUUACUUUAUUGAUAUGGAGAUUGCAGCUUAGUUUGGUUUAUAGAUCUAGAUUCAUUUUCAACUUAAAAGUAUGAAUAAAACUUUGUUUAUCAUAGAUUGUGCAAUCAAAGAUUUGAUGGCAAGAGGUUUGGUUAGGUUGGUGUCUGCUCAUUCUAGUUAGCAGAUUUACACUAGAGCCACUAAUACAUAGGCGGUUUUGAGGUGUUUUUUAUUUUCCUGAUUUUGUUUAGAGACAACAUUAUUAUGAGGAUGUGUUUGGUUUUCAUGUUUUUGUCAUUUUGUUGAAGGCAGUUGUUGAAAAAAAAAAUUAAAUUAAUGAUGACAAGUUUAAUUUUUGCUUUUAUGAAGGGAAAAAAAAAAACCUACCCAUUAACUUAAAUUCUUCUUCAUCAACAAAAUUGUUCAAUAUUAUUUCAUUUUCUUUUGAAGUUUGGAGAUUGCAGCUUAGUGUGGUUUAUAGAUCUGGAUUCAUUAAAUCUCUUGGUUGAUUUCUGAAAUCUUUCAACUUAAAGUUUUAUUAUGCUAUAUGGUUGUUGAAUACUAGUGUUGCUGGCCAAUAAAAGAGGCCGAGAAACCAUAUCUGAAAGAAACUUUAUUUUUUUUAUAGAUAAAUUUUGGUCAAUAAAAGAGGCUAAGAGACCAACACCGGUUGCACGACAGUUAGAAAUGUUGGUCUGCAGUCGCGCACGGCAGAGGUGAACUCUGGCACGGUGAUCGCCAACAAAGUUGCUCCGAUUGCAAAAUAAACAUAGGGGUUUUGUUGCUGACAUCAUGAGGAAGAAUAUGUUGGGUUUGGUUUUCUCAAUGGCAACUCACGGUGGCCGAAAAACAAGAGAGAAGGGGGAGAUCUCGAAAAUUAAACUUCUCCAAUCUAAAAAAAAAUUGAUGGCUUUUGUAGAGGAAGAAGAGAGGAAUUCAAUGGUGAUGGAGGGGAUUUUAAAGGAGGCCGGACGAAAAAGUUAUGGUGACCGGAACUUGGUGGUGGUGGUGACGAAAAAAAUGAGAAAGAAUAAGAAGAAGAAGAAAAUAUGAAGUGACUUUUGUUCUUUCUUUCUUUUAAUUAAAUGGAGGGAAAUGUUGGAGCCAAGUGGAAAUAGUGGUAUAAGAGGAAAAUGAAAUUCAACUAUUUUGGCAUGAGAGGAAAAGUGAAAUUGGAGGGAGAUGAAAUUUUAUUAUUUUGACAUAAGAGGGAAAUGAAAUUUGAUUAUUUUGGCAAAAGAGAAAAAGGAAAAGUGAGUAAUAUGAUUCUUUUUUUUGGGCAAUCAUAAACUCACAUACAAAGGGGAGGUACCGGGGUUCAAAUCCCGAUCAUGACGUUCGGCCAAAGAAUUUUAGCAUUUUUGUCAGUUGAGCUAGGACUUAUGAGAUUGAGUAAUAUGAUUCUACCAAAAACAAUAAUUAAAAUGACAUUAAGUUUUUUUAGUUAGUAUUCAAUUCAUUACAUUUAUUUAAAAAAUAACACCCUUUUUAUGUUAAUAUAUUCGUUUCACAUAAUUUAUAUUAUAUAUAAAGAAAAUAACUUCUUUCAGAUCUUUUAGACUCUAUACUAUGAUGAAAUUGAAAAGGAAUAUUAAAUAAUGUCCAACCCUAGUAGAAUGAACAAAUCUGUUGAAAUUAGAAAAAUGAUAAAUUUGAAAAGGAAGAGUAGAUAAAAUCCAACCCUAGUAGAAGGAACAAUAGUUUGAAAAGGAAUAUCAAAUAAAGUCAAACCAUAGUAAAAGGAACAAAAUUGUGGAAAUUAGAAAAAUGAUUAAUUUGAAAAGGAAUAACAAAUAAAGUCCAACCCUACUAGAAGGAACAAAAUUGUGAAAAUUAUGAAAAUGAUGAAUUUGAAAAGGAAGAUCAAAUAAAGUUCAGCCCUAAUAGAAAGAACAAAAUUGUGAAAAUUAAAAAAAAAUUAUGGAUUUAAAAAAGACAAAUAAAGUCUAACACUAACUUCAUAUCUAUCCCUUCAAGUUUUUCUUCUUCAAAUAUAACAUAAAUCUCACCUUAAUGACAAGAUUCUUUGACCUAAACUACUUCUAAGAUUUCACAGCGAUUGAUCAAACUCACAACUCUUAACCUAACUGAAAGAAUCUUGGAGUCAAAGUACCUGGAUGAAUGUUCACUGACUAAUAAAACUCUUGUUAUCAACUAACCAUCCUAUCACCCUAAUGACAACUCUAACCCUAAUGACAAGAUUCUUCCACCUAAACUACUUACAAGAUUUCAAAACAAUUGAUCAAACUCAAAAUUCUUGCCCUACCUGAAAGAAUCUUGGAGUCAAAGUACUUGGAUGAAUGUUCAAUGACUAAUGAAACUAUUUAUCGACUAAUCAAGCUUACAACUCUAACCCUAAUGACAAGAUUCUUUAACCUAAACUACUUCCAAGAUUUCAAAACGACUAAUCAAACUCACAACUCUUACCCUAACUGAAAGAUCUUGGAGUCAAAGUACUUGGAUGAACGUUCAAUGACUAAUCAAACUCUUGUUAUCGACAAAUCAAGCCUGUAACAACGACAAAUCAAACCCACAUAUCUUACGCUAACAACAAGAAUCUUAUACUUAAAGUACUUGGAUAAAUAUUAAUUGAUUACUCAAGAUAUUCACUACGUGGAUUGUAUUUAAUUAUUUUUAUCGUUAUUAUUAUAAAACUAAUUUAUAAAUUCAAUAUAGAUAACAAAUUAAAACUAUUUUUUAAACACGUUAAAAUGAAAAUAACAUAAUAAUACAUUAAUUAAAUAAACUCAAGAAUAAAAAAUGCAAAAAAAAAUUAUUAACAAUACAUCAACUCAAACUUGCUAAUGUAUAAAUGUUUUGCGUAUUUUAAUGUCCAUUUACCUUAACCCAUUGAACAAUAAUGUACACACUUAGGUCACCAAAAUAAGCAAAACUUGACAUUUUAUAUUUAUUUAAUAAUUAAUCUAUUUGGUCUUUAAUAUACAUCACACAAACUAUUUAUUAAAUAAAUCUAACAUGUUAUAUUUUGUUUAUAAUAGUGACUAAAAUGUCUAUUUUUUCCCAAUUUAUUCAUAUUCUAAAAACAAUUUCUAAAUUUUUAUCCAAUUAUCUUAUUCUUCGAAAAAUAAAAAAUAAUCUAAUUAUUAAGUUUUUAUCCAAUUAUUAAAUAUUCUAAAUUUUCGAAAAUAAAAAAAUCCAAUUAGCUAAAUUUUAAAUAUGAUUUAUCGAAAAAAAAAUCCUAUUAUCUAAAUUUUAAAAACCAAUAUUCUAAAUUUAUCGAAAACAAAAAAAAAAUUUCUACUAAAUUUUAUUCUUUUUCGAAUUAAUGUAUCUUUAAUUUAUAAUUAUGAUUUAUUAUAUAUUUAAUUUAUAAAUAUAAUUUAUGGUAUAUUUUAUUUAUAUUAUGAUUUAAGGAAAAUUGCUAAAUUUCCUUCUACCAAAAUUAAUUGAUAAUGUUAUGGGGCCUUGUUCUAUUUAAGCUUGGGCCUGGUUUGGUAAUAUAAGCCCAAUACAACAUCUACCAAAAAACCAUUAAAAUACUACUCCCUCCGUCCCAAAUUGUAUGUCACUUUAAAAAAAAAUAUUUGUCCCAAAUUGUAUGUCACUUUAGAAUACCAAUGAAAUAUUAAUGUUAUUUUUCCUAUUAUAUCCUUAACUAUUUAUUACUCUUUCUUUUUUUCAAUUCUUUCAUUUAUCUUUCCCAUAUCAUUUAUUAAGGAUAAUUUUGUAAAACAACUCAUAAUAUCUCUUUCCCACACAAUAUUAAUUACAUUUCUUAAUAUGUGUGAAAUGCCCAAAACGUCAUACAAUUUGGGAUGGAGGGAGUAUCAUUUAUUCAAUCCGUGGGACCCGCGUGUACAAAAGCAGCAGGUCACCCAUCACACAAUUGGAGCAGAUCUGGACCGUUGGAGCUUUAUAUUAAUAAAUCAAUGGCCCAAAAUUGAUUUCAGCUCUUAAAUGCACAACUUGUGCAUGGUGCACAAAUCUUUCCCUUGUGCAUGCUAAACCCCACCCUGAACACAUGUAAAAAGAAAAUAUCAUUCAAAUGAAAUGGAUCUUUUCUUUUGUUAGUAGAUGUCUGGAACUCUAGAUCAUUCAUGAUAGUUUGACAAGUUAAGAUAAUGUGCAUUUUCAACCCUAUUUUUUCUGUUGAACUCUUGUAGAGAAAAUAUCAUAUUUUCUAAAAAAAAUAAGCCAACUUUGAGUAGAGUAGUGGGCUUAAGUGAAGGACUAAAACUAAUGAUUUGAUCACUGUGAAUAAUGUAGUAGGAACUGUUUUACUACAUCAAGUUGUUAGAAAUAACAAAUCUGUCAAGGGAAAUAAUUUGUGUUGAAGCCAUUUUACUUGGUGAACUUCUCAACAUGGAGAUGAUCAAAAAGCCACCUCCCAUUAGAAAGCCAGUAUUUGAGCAAGAAAAUUCACUCCAGGAUAAGCAAUUUCCAACUUAUUUGUGUUGAAGCCAUUAAUGCUCAAGAUUAAUGCUCAAAUAAUUUGUGUUGAAGCCAUCUUAUUUGUAAUUUCCAACUUCCUAAGGGGAGGUGGCUUUCUGAUCAAAGUUGCUUGCUCGAAUGAAUAAGCAAUUUCAAUCAACUUUGGCUCUGACCCUUUCAAACCACCAAAACAAAUUCCAAAUGGUACACCCUUUUCAUAUCCUGCUGGAACACUCACUCCAGGAUAACCUCCAAUAGCCAGUAUGUGGCUAAAGGACCAAAAAGGUGUCAUUACAGCAUCAAGUUUAUUUAUUUUCAUCAGUUUCUCAAACCCAUUUUCUGACCAUCUUGACAUAUUCAAUAAUGCUUCUUUUUCUGCUUUCCCAAAACCGUUUGUCUUUUCAGCUUGCACCAAUACAUCUUGGCCAUACUCCAUUUUCUCCUACAAUUUUAUACAACAAUUCAGAUUCUAUAGUGAUCAAUAUUAAUUAAAAUCCAAUUAAUAUACACAAAUAAAUAGCAAAAUCACACACACACACAUAUACCGACCAAUUUUGGGUGUUUCUCAUUGAAGGCUAUCACAUCUGCCAAACUGUUCACCGGUGAAGCUACUAAAUCUUUCAGGUAUUCAUUCAAUGAUAAUUUGAAUUCAAAGUUCAAAGCAAUAGAUUCACUUGGAGCACUGAGAAUUUCAUCAAUGUUAUCAAUCUUCAAAUUGUCAACCAAAACUGCACCUCUUUGCCUGAUAAUUUCAACAAUGUUAUCAAUUGAUAGGGUUGUUCACUGGGAAUGGGAAAUCUUGAUGACAGAAUGUGAAUCUUUACAGCAAGAAUGUAAUGAACUGAAUUACAAGUAUUCGAGAGACUGUCACUCUACACUACAAUUAUCUACAAUGUUACAUACUUACAUUCUACUAGUUGUAUUUAUAUCUCCUCUGAUUUCUAACUAACUAAACUGCAGUAAGUUAGUUAGUAGUUACAUCUGUUAUAGUUCCACAUGAGUAUCAUCCUCCACACCCUUCUUAUACUUUCCACUAUACGCCUGCUUAAUGGGAGUUCUUCGCUCCUUAACAUCGAUCUUCAAAUUCUAACAUAGUUUAAUGUAAAUGUAAAUAGUAAAUAGGUCUGACGUAUGGUUCUUGUAACUACUUCUUUUCAGGAGCGAUAGGUAAUGUAACAAAAUCUGAUUUGUCACCAUUCCCCAAAUUUUGGACAGUUUAAUUGUGUUGGACAUACCUACUCUUCCAAUUAAUCAACACAGGAAGAUUCAAAGCAAGCACUGUUGAAAAUUGUUUGCCAAAUGUGAUAUUUAUACUAUAUCAGCUUAGUUGAUUUGAUUUUAAGAGCUCUAGAUCACAUCAUUUAACAUGAUCAGCCAUGGUUUGUCAAAAAAAUAUGAUUACCAAAAACUGUCAUUAGAUUCAUUCAAGAUUGACGACAGGUUUACAUUGUUAACAUAUCUACUCUACUGAUGAAUAGCAUUAUAUAGCUUCAAAGUAAAGUUGCAACUUUGAUCAGAUCACGAAGACAUGUUAUUAUUAGCAUUGUAAGCUACAACUUUUUGCGAAAGAGAAUUCAGAGCUGUGAUUUAUUUAAUACACAGAUUAUAUCAAACCUCAAGUUGUUGGCCGACAAUAACAAACAACUCCCAAAGGAUUGUCUAUAGGCAUCAAAGACAAAAUAAUUGUCUGUGAUUUCUCCUAUAUAAUUGUGGCCAAAUAAAAUAAUAGACAAUGAAUACAAAAAAACUUAUAAACAAGUGUUAUCUAACCAUGUGUUGCACAGGUUUUAAAUACUAAUCUAUGUACAUGAGGCUUAUUAAAACUUCUUUAGCAGUGAUAGAACUUGACAGAUAAUAGUUUAGAGUAAUUACCUUAACGUUUUUAGGUGUAAGUUGAAAGUUUCAUGCAUAAAAGUGUCAUUUCCAAACUCGUAGUAGUAUCUCACUACUCCUAAUCUCUUUCCUCUUAGUCCGUCUUUCUUUAGAAAUUGAGCAUAGCCACCUUUUGGGAUAUACUUUGAUGCUUCAACUGUUGCCUUAUCAAAAGUGUCGAUGCCUGCUAUGGUUUCAAGAACACAAGCAGCAUCUGAUACAGUCCUACAAAUUGGCCUGUAAAAAACCACACCAUUAAUGUUACACAAUUACUAUAGCAAAAUGUCUUUUGACAUAAAAAAUGAGUAAAUAGGCAUUUUAGUCCGUGAAAUUGUAACUGUCGGUCAAUUUAGUCCAUUGAAUUUGCAAAAUGGUAACAGUGUGAGUGUGUGCACCCAAGCGUGCUUACCCAACUGUGUCUUGCCUUGGGCUAAUUGGAACUACACCUGCUCUACUAGUGAGACCAACUGUUGGUUUAAGGCCCACCACAGAGUUAAGGCCUGAAGGGCAUAAAAUGGAGCCAUCGGUUUCAGUACCAAGUGACACAGUAACCAGAUUUGCUGCUACUGAUAUUGCCGAUCCACUACUUGAACCACAAGGAUCAUCCAAUGUGUAUGGAUUCUGCACAACAAAAAGCACAUGUUUGAACUCCUCAUUUUCAAGAAUCAUUCAUACUAAAGUUCCAAUAAGAAGAAGGGGAUAAUCAAGCCAUUGCUUUAGGCCUCAGAAAAAAAAUUAUUUACUAUCAGUGGCUAUUUUUUUAAUAAUGCCUCAUAAGUGCGAAAAAGGGGUCAGUCUCUAUGGCUCUUCAUUUAACACAAAAAGGAUAAUUUCUAAGUUUGAUUUAGCCUACGUUUGAUUCCAAAUUUGUACCUCCCAAAAUCGAGUUUCGGUUAUUCAAACGUGAUUUGACUAUAUAUUGUUGUGUUUGGCUUCUGACUUUGGAACUGAUUUCAGUCCCAAAAUCAAUUAUACCUAAAAGCUAAAUUUCUAGCUUUUGCGGUAAAAAAGAACCAAUUCUCAAACUUAUUGACAUAUAUAAAAGCAAUUAUGAUCCAAACUAUACAAACAAAAAUUGAUAAAAAUCUUUGUGAAUGUAUUCAAACAUCAAUCACUUAACGUUCAACUCACUUUCAACUAAAACCGAUUUCAAAAAAUCAUUUUUACCGAACGGACACUUAGCCCUUACUCAAUCUUAGGCCAGCUCUGAUUCAGCUACAUAUUCUUUGUUGAUUUACAAUUAGGUAAAUUGGUAACUACUUAGUAGAAUCCAAAUGUACAAGAAGUCCACAAUAAGUAGUAAACUAUAAAAACUCUGAAGAGCUAGUCAAGUACAUGCAUGAUAUGCAAUGUAAUGAAAUUUUUAAGAGUGAUAGAUUUGAAUUUAAAAGCACGACCAAACUCAAAUUAAGUAAGAAGUAGUAGUAAAUUACCUUUCCUUGUCCACCUCUAGCAUUCCAACCACCAGGAACUUUACUAGACCUGUAAUGUGACCACUCACUCAAAGUGGCCUUCCCUAAUAUGAUAGCACCAGCUUUCCUUAACUUGGUAACCACACCUGCAUCUCUUGGCACGACUGAGCCAAGAAGUGCAAAAGAGCCAGCAGUAGUGUUCAAUCUAUCCUUAGUUGCAGUGUUAUCCUUAACCAAAAUAGGUAUUCCAUGCAACCUUGAAAGAGAACUUGGUGUUUUUUCCCUUCUCUCUUGGUCAGCUUUAUCUGCUUGUGCUAAUGCAUCUGGAUUCACCUCCAAGACUCCUUUUAGAACUGGGUUUUGUAUUUUGAUUUGGUUGAGGUAAAACUCAACAAGUUGUCUUGAUGUUAAUUGGUUUCUUUGGAAAGCUAGUUGAAGAUCUUGCACAGUUGCUUCCUUGAUUGAGAAUUCACUGGCCAAGGUUGUUGGUAGCAGUAGCAUAGAGGAGAAUGUAACUAGUAUAAGGAAUUGGAUUAAUGAACAUGCAAGUGCUGAAUCCAUGACCAUGAGUGAUGAAACCUUCCCAAUAUCUACACUGAAAUAUUUUUAUUCUUAAUGAUUGUUCUCUAUACUUGCUGUGUUAGCUCUGAGGAAAAAAGAAAAGCAGAGAAGAAAGAAGCCAAUGGAUGAAAUUUUUUAAAUAUUUGAACUGCAUCUGCUGCAGAUUUCAUGUGCUUAUAUCUUUGAAAACAAAUUUUUAUGUGCCGAUAUGUGAAAGUUGAUAUGAUAAAAUUUUAAAAACCCAAGACUAUUUACAAAAUAUCAACAUUAAUUUAUUGUUUCUAUUAAAUAUUUCUGUAAUUUAGUGCUUAUAUCUGCGAAAGCAAAAUUUUACAACUCAAUAUCAGAAAGUCGAUGGUAAAAUUUUGAACACUCACAACUAUUUUCAGAAUAUCAAUAUUAAUUUAAUGUCUCUAUUAAAACAAACUCAAUGCAUCAUUGUGCUAAAAUCACAACUUUUGGUUUGCUGUUAAGCUCUAAAACAUUACUACUUCAAACUUGUAACUUCCAACUUCCUAAGGGGUGGUGGCUUUCUGAUCAAAGUUGCUUGCUCAAAUGAAUAAGCAAUCUCAAUCAACUUUGGCUCUGACCCUUUCAAACCUCCAAAGCAAAUUCCAAAUGGCUGACCUUUUUCAUAUCCUGCUGGAACAAUCACUCCAAGAUAACCUCCAAUAGCAAGUAUGCUACUAAAGAAUGAAAAAGGUGUUACCACAGGAUCAAGUUUAUUUAUUUUCAUCAGAGAUGCAGAUCGAACAGAGUACACUCCCUCCAAACUAAGCUUCCAAGAUCAAGAAUCCACACCGUCAGACAACGGGCACUCGCCCAUCACAUUCAAUAAAUCAACCACUUAAGUGUUCUCCCAAACAAACAAUCUACGCCUCCAUAUCAUGUCCCACACCCACCCAUCAUCGACCCAAGAGCAUAUACCACCUACUGACGAGGAUUGUGGAAUCGAAACCUGAAACAACCUCAAAAACCUCACCCUCAGUGGUACACCACCUACUAACAGUCACAAUUUUAUCCUCUCAUCUCUCACAAUAAAACAUGCUCUCACUUGAUCUGCCAUAUAUAUAUAUAUACUCAUUUACCCAGUAUUUUUCCUAUGUUUCUUUCUUUUUCUUGUUAUGUUUUAUGAAUGAGAAGUGAGAAGAAAACAGAACCAAUCAGCUUUUAAUCAUUAAGGUGUUCAAUGAUUUAACCAUGUAAUGAAGCUACACAAAUUGCAUACAGGGAUCUCAUGCACAAAAGGUAAAUUUGCAACAAGAAGACCAACCACUCAAUGAUGAAUGACAACAAGCAUUAAAAAGCAACAAUCAAACAACCAGAUAGCUAGAGGGAAUCUCAAGUUAUCAAGCUAUGAAGAAACUGAGAGUUAGAAGACUUGUCAAAAUAUAGGAAUGACAAACGUUUUAGUCUCAACUAAUACUCAACAAGGUAAAAUGUUUUGAGAAUUAGUAGUAGUGAAAAAUAGAAUAGAUGAUCAUUUUUUAUAACAAAGUGAGAUGUUAUGAGAAUUAGUGCUAGUGAAUAAUAGAUGAAAUCCAAAAACUAAAACUAGAUAAUAGAGUUCAACUUGAUGUCAAAAAAGAACAGACAAAGACAUAUGAAAGAGCUGAAUGCUCUGCAUCUUCAUCUCCUAGACUCCUAUAGCAACUGCUCCUCCCCUAAUCAUCAUGUUCAUCAGUAAUACUAAGUACAUUUGUACAUCUAUGAGAUCACCCUUUGUUGUAGUCAUGAUCUCUGCAUAAGAAAAUUUAAACACUCAUGAACAUGAGAAUUGAUGCCAUAAACACACAGUUACUAUAAUACGAUACAAGAUGAGUACAUGUUUAAAGAUUAUAAUUAAGAGCUUUUAUAUUUAUAUAUAUAAAAAAAUGUUUACAUGUUUUCAACCGUAUAUCACACCACAUCGUUUUGAUAAGUAUCUAAGCACGUGGGGAAUCCUCCCUUGAAAGCUAGCUAUCAAAGGUGAAUAAUGAGGCCACUAAAAUAGUCCACCAAAGUUUAAACUAAUAAUCAUAUUACUGAGAUUAAGUUGAUAUGCGUUAAAAGUGAAAAGAGAUGCAAACUAAACAGCCACCCAUUUGAGUUAAGCUUAUAAUUGAUAAUUGGAAAAACUGAAACCCUUUAGAUAGGAACCCUGUCAUCUAUUUCUGUGGAAUUCACGUACCGUAACUUGUUUACAUUCUUUAUCCAUACUAAAAAAAUUCUGUCAGUAUUUCCAAUUUUCCAUUUACAACAUUACACACAUAACUUACGCAAUAAAUUAUUUCUUAUGUUAAGUAGACUUGGGAAUCAAGCAACAAGUAUACAUGAAUAGACUAAUAAACUAAAACCUCAUGGAACUUAUCGAACAGUCUGAAGCCAUUUUCAUAAAGCCUUGAAGCCAUCUGAUCUAUUAGUCAAAUAAUUUUCUAUACAAGGCCAUGAUUAUAAAAUAAUUAAGUAUAGAACAGUUGAUAGAAAGAUGAAAAUAAUAAUAAUAACCAUGAAUAUCAUACCAGUUUUCCAUAAUACUAUUAAAGAUCAAAUAACUUACAUGACGCUAAGUUGAAAAUUAAGCUUCAGAUGAUAAUGGGUCUGAUAGUCUUCAAAAAGGUACAUAGAAAGCCUGGUAUCAUCAAUCCAUUCCCUAUCAUUUGUCCAUCAACCCAAUCGCCCUCGUACAUUGUUCCAUUUGACCAAUUCAUAAUCCCUCUUCCAUCCAUUUUAUUAUUUUUCCAAUUUCCAGUGUAGACAUCUCCAUUUGCAAAUCUAUAAACUCCAUAGCCAUGUUUCUGUCCAUUUGACCAAUAACCAUCGAAAACAUCACCGUUAGCCCAUUUCAUAAUCCCUUUUCCAUCCCUUUCCCCUUUUUCCCAAUUUCCAGUGUAGACGUUUCCAUUAGCAGAUCUAUAAACUCCAUAUCCAUGUGAAAGUCCAUUUGACCAAUAACCAUCGAAAAUAGCACCAUUACCCCAAUUCAUAAUCCCUUUUCCAUCCUUUUCUCCUUUUUCCCAAUUUCCAGCAUAGACAUCCCCAUUUGCAAAUCUAUAAACUCCAUAUCCAUGUUUAUGUCCAUUUGACCAAUAACCAUCGAAAACAUCAUCGUUAGCCCAUUUCAUAAUCCCUUUUCCAUGCCUUUCCCCUUUUUCCCAAUUUCCAGUGUAGACGUUUCCAUUUGCAGAUCUAUAAACUCCAUAUCCAUGUGAAAGUCCAUUUGACCAACAACCAUCGAAAAUAGCACCAUUACCCCAAUUCAUAAUCCCUUUCCCUGUCACUUUUCCAUCAACCCAGUCACCCUCGUAUAUUGUUCCAUUUGUCCAUGUGUACUUUCCCAUGCCAUGGAGAAGUUCACCCUUGAAUUUACCAAUGUAGACAUCCCCAUUUGAAAAGGACUUCUCUUUAACACUACACUUUACAAGAAACGAUGAAAUCAUAAUCAUAAUAAAUGGCUACACAGUAAAAACGAAAAUGCAAAAGAAAAGAGAAGAAUGAAUUGGAUAGAGUAGCUUUGGUUUCUUUGAAUAUUACCUUCCAUCAUCCUCCAUGUCUUGCAUUCUUUCACUCAUUGAAAUUGAAUAGAAUCAAAAUCAGUUCAGAAAGCUGGAACAAAAUUAAACAAACUCAAAACUUGGAAGAGGAAUAAAAAAGAAAAACACGUAAAAUUACAAAUGCUACAACAGAAACAAUUGAACUAACUCCUUAAAUCAACCCUAAUUCAGGGUUUUAUUGAUGAUUCUAACUAACAAUGAUUCUCAUUCUGGGAAGAGAGAGAACGUUAACUGAAAUACUAGGGUUUAUAUUUUAUUAGUUUGCAUUAAACCCAAGAAUCAAGAUAAUAUAUUAAUCAAACUACACUAAACCCUUUUUUCUUGGAUUAAGCUUUCUCCUCCGAUUUGAAAACAUAAAAUCAUAACUAAGAAAUUAUAGAGUAAAGUUGCUUACUUUUUUCCGAUGAUCUCUUUUUUUUUCUACUACCUUUUAACCACUCUUCUCUAAUCCUUCUAUAUAUAUUGAUGAUGAUGAUACUUUUACGUUUGUUUGAUAUGAAAACAAAAAAAAUCACAUUAUUAUAUUUUUUUUUUAGAGAAAAAAAUUCACAUUAUUUAUUCACACAAAAUUUUACAUUGUAACCAAUAUAUAGUUUUUCUACUUGCACCCUAGUUAAUCAUGGAUGCACCCCAAAAUGACAAGAUUACCCUUUCAUAAAAUUUGAUUUUCAAAAAGUCUAUUCCUUCUUUUUUGGUUACACCCCAAAACCCUUCUUCCAAAACCAUAAUUCUCCAAUCGAUCAAUUGUGUUCUGCGAAGAUUUUCAAAACCAUACUUUCUCACGUCCAUUCAUGAUUUCAAAGAAAAUUCGAAGCAAAUCAGGUUAGCAAGUGUUGUUCUUCAANNNNNNNNNNNNNNNNNNNNNNNNNNNNNNNNNNNNNNNNNNNNNNNNNNNNNNNNNNNNNNNNNNNNNNNNNNNNNNNNNNNNNNNNNNNNNNNNNNNNNNNNNNNNNNNNNNNNNNNNNNNNNNNNNNNNNNNNNNNNNNNNNNNNNNNNNNNNNNNNNNNNNNNNNNNNNNNNNNNNNNNNNNNNNNNNNNNNNNNNNNNNNNNNNNNNNNNNNNNNNNNNNNNNNNNNNNNNNNNNNNNNNNNNNNNNNNNNNNNNNNNNNUUUAAUUUUCAUGGAGAUUGAUAUUGAACAUCAAAUUGUUUGAUCGAUCGCUUUGUGGGGUGAAAGAGGGUGAAACUCACUGACAAUGAAUAAAAUUAGGGUUUUAAGAAAAUUUAUAUAAAAGGACAAUUUUGGUAUUAUAAAAAAAUUUUAAGAAAAUUUGGGUGUAACCAGAAAAACAUGGGGUGUAAAUAGAAAAACUCCCAAUAUAUAUAUGGGCUGCAACAUCAAUUAAUUAAGUAUGAUUUUUUUUUCAUUUUAACUAAUUAAAUAAUAUGAUAGUACAUCAUUUUAUGCAUGUGUAAAACAUUUUUACACCAACGAAUCGGACAUGGAUUCUCUCCUGUGAAAUUUUCACUGCAGGAGAUCCAAUGCACAUUCACACAAUUUAUUUAUUUUUAAUGAUAAAAACUACACUAAUUACAAGAAUAUACGGGAUUAAGAUUUCACAUGACAAAAACUACAUUUGAGAGGAUCUCUUCCACCAACGAACUAUAUAAACUCUAAGAGUAAAUAUUCCUUUAUAAAAAAAAUGUUUUGAUGGGCUAAAAUCUUUUUAUUUUAUACUAAAAUAAUUUAAUUACAAAUAUUUUUUUGUCUACAAUCAAAUAUCUUUUUCUAAAAAUAUACACGAAUAUAUAAAUCAAGUCUUAAAAUGCAGCAAUGUUAAAUCUUUUGAAUGAUUACUUUGUCAUUAAUUGUGAACGUAAUUGGUUCGAAUGAUUAGUCUAUGUAGUUGUGUGCAUAUAAUAUUUAGUUAAGUAUUAUUUUUAGACUUAAAAUUUCUAAGAAAAAUAUGUUCACUUUUUUACUAGUGUAGUUAAUUUUUUUUUUUCUUUUGACAAAAUUGUAGUUAAUGUUUUAAGAAAUAGAAUUAAUGUUUUAUAAACCAUUAUAAAACAAACAAAUUCCAAAUGACAUGCCCUUUUCAUAUCCUGCUGGAAUGGAACACUCAGUCCAGGAUAACCUCCAAUAACAAGUAUGAUGAGACUAAAGGACCAAAAAGGUGUUACUACGGUUACUCCAAAAAUAUCCCACAUUGUUUGUUUGAGAAUCAAGGUGAAGGGUUGUUUGUAAACAACGCUCAUAAUUUAAGGCAACUGUGAGUAGAGUAGUGAGCUUGAGCGACAGACUGAAAUUGAUGAUUUGAUAAGGGAGAAUAAUGUAGUAGUAACUGUUUUAUAAAUCAAAUUGUUAGAAAUAACAAAUCUGUCAAGGGAAAUAAUUUGUGUUGAAGCCAUCUUAUUUGGUGAAGUUCUCAACAUUAAUGCAUUCUGGUAUAUUUAUUGCAUUAUUUUCUCAGAUUUCCAUGAAUACAACUUCACCAUACAUUUAGCACCAUCCUUAUUGCUCUGCGGGUUUUCUGACCAAUCAAGCAUGUUAGUGACAUCAACAUGCACUUUUAUAGAUGAUUUAGGAUUGUUCAUGUUACAACUUACACUUUCUUACAGAUCAAGUAAUGUAAGCUCUUCAACUCAAUUUGCUAGCGGAUGCAAAGAAACAAUGAUAUUCACGGGAAGUGGAGGAGGCUUUCGAAGAGCAUUACUAGUUCAGAUUUCUGAAUUUCGAAGAGGAGGUGGCUUUCUGAUCAAAGUUGCUUGCUCAAAUGAAUAAGCAAUUUCAAUCAACUUCGGCUCUGAGCCUUUCAAACCUCCAAAACAAAUUCCAAAUGGCUUACCCUUUUCAUAUCCUGCUGGAACAAUGAUUCCAGGAUAACCUCCAAUAGCAAGUAUGCUACUAAAGGAUGAAAAAGGCGUUACCACAGCAUCAAGUUCAUUUGUUUUUAUCAGUUUCUCAAACCCAUUUUCUGACCAUCUUGUCAUGUUUAAUAAUGCUUCUUUCUGUAUACUUCCAAUUCCAUUUGUCUUUUCAGCUUGCAACAUGAUAUCUUGGCCAUACUUAUCAAGUUCCUCCUACAAUUUUUAUACAACAAUUACAUGAUGAUACUAAGUCUUUAUUAAUAUCCAAUUAUCCAUAAACAUAAACAAAAUCACAUUUAUACUUACCAAUUUUGGGUUUUUCUUGUUGAAGGCUAUCACAUCUGCCAAGCUUCUCACUGGCGAUGCUACUAAGUCUUUGAGGUAUGCAUUCAAUGAUAAUUUGAAUUCAAAAUUCAUAGCAAUCUCCUCACUUGGAUCACUGAUAAUUUCAUCAAUGUUAUCAAUCUUCAAAUUGUCAACCAAAACUGCACCUCUCUGCCUGAUAAUUUCAUCAAUGUUAUCAAUCUUUAAAUUCUAACACAGUUUAAUGUAAAUGUAAGUAAAUAGGUCUGCAAUAUGGUUCUUGUAACUAAUUUUCAUGAGAUAUCGACAAUGUAAUUAAAUAUAAUUUGUCACCAUCCUCCAAAUUUUGGACAGCUUAAAUUGUGUUGGACAUACACACUCUUCCGAUUAAGUAAUGAACACAGGAAUAUUUACAGCAAAUACUGUUAAAAAUUGUUCGUCAAAUGUUAUUUAUACUUUAUCAGCUUAGUUGAUUUGAUCUUUAUUUUCUGCAGGCCCCCUCUAGCAGAAAGUUGGAGCGACAAGCUACAAGUAUAAGAGUUCUAGAUCACAUCAUUUUCACUUUUGUGAUUGAGUCUUGGUGGUGUAUGGUAUUUCCGUCAUAGUUUAUCUAACAUGAUUAGCUAUGGUUUGUAUAAAAACAUGAUUACCUAUGAAAGACUAACAAUAUUUCAUUCAAGGAUGAUGAUAGGUUUAUAUUGUCAACAUAUCUACUCUUUUUAUAAAUAUCAUUGCAAAGCAUCAAAACAUAGUUGCAAAUUUGAUGAGAUUGCUACGAUAUGUUAUUAGCAUUGUAAAGCUACAACUUUUAGUGAAAUAGAAAUAUGAUUUAAUCAAUACACAAAUUAUAUCAAACUUCAAGUUGUUGGCCAAUAAUAACAAACGACUCCAUAAGGGUUGUCUAUAGGCAUCAAAGAAUAGUUUUAGACUUUAGCUACCUUAACGUUUUCAGGUGUAGCUUGAAAGUUUUAUCCGGAAAAGUGUCAUUUCUAAAACUGUAGUAUCGUUUCACUACUCCUAUUCUCUUUCCUAUUAGUCCGUCUUUCUUUAGAAAUUGAGCAUAGCCACCUUCUGGAAUAUACUUUGAUGCUUCAAUAGUUGCCUCAUCGAAAGUGUCGAUGCCUGCUAUGGUUUCAAGAACAUAAGCAGCAUCUGAUACAGUCCUGCAAAUUGGCCUGUACGAAAACCACAACUGAUGUUACACAUUUAUUUUAGAACAAUGUCUUUUGACAGGGAAGGUUGUGCUUGCAAAUGCAAGAAUAUAUUGGCAUGUAAGCAUUUCCAAUUUUCCACAACACACACACACACACAAGAUUUUGGCAUGGUUCUUUUUUCCAUUCAAUUUUGCUCUUAUGAGCAGUUAUAAAUUAAAAGUAAACAGUAAAUGAAUAGACCAGUUAGCAAUUUGUUUCUUUUAUUUUCACAUUUGUUUCUCUCUCUAUUGAGAGAAAUCAAAAUGACAAUAAUAGUAUUUGUAAACAAAAGCUUUUUUUUUUCUUUUUAUAUUUUAAAUUGAAACGAAUGUUAUACUAUAAAUGUGAUAAAAUAGUCAUACUAAAUGCAAUAGAAAUGCGGACAAAACGCUCUACAGGCUUACCCGACUGUGUCUUGCCUUGGGCUAAUUGGAAUUACACCUGCUCUACUAGUGAUACCAACUGUUGGUUUGAUGCCCACCACUGAGUUAAGACCUGAAGGGCAUAAGAUGGAGCCAUCAGUUUCGGUACCAAGUGACACAGUCACCAAAUUUGCAGCUACUGAUAUUGCUGAUCCACUACUUGAUCCACAGGGAUCAUCCAAUGUGUAUGGAUUCUGCACAACACAAAGCACAUGUGUCAUUUCCUCCUCAUUUUCUAUAAGCAUUUAUACCAAAGUUCCAAUGAGAAGAAGGUAUAACAAAGCCAUGGCUUUAGGCCUCCCAAAAAAUUACUUGAUAUCAGCAACUAAUUUUAUUUUUAUUUUUUAUAAGGCUUUAUAAGCUAGCCUAAACCCCGACCUAAGGCUCUCUCAUUUAACAGAAAAAGGCUUAUUUCAAUGGUUGACUGUACCUCCCAAAAUCAUGUUUAGGUUAGUUAAACUUGAUUUGACUAUAAAUUGUUAUGUUUGGCUUCCGACUUUGGAAUUGAUUUCAGUCGCAGAAUCAUUUCUAGCUUCUCAGGGGCAUGAAUUAACUCCCAAAUUUAUUGACACACACACACACACACACAAAGCAAUUCUUAUCUAAAUUAUCUAAACAUAAACCGCUCUAUGUUCAACUAACUUUCAAUAUCAAUUUUAUAAAAUCAAUUCAAUCAUCCACUCUGCCCACUUAUUGGUAACUACGAACCAUACUAAACAAUUUAAAUCGAAAAAGCUAAAUCAAUCACCAAUUAACUAAAUUAACUAAGAAGUAGCAGCAAAUUACCUUUCCUUGUCCACCUCUGGCACUCCAACCACUAGGAGCUCCAUUAGACCUGUAAUUUGACCACUCACUCAAAGUGGCUUUCCCCAAUAUGAUAGCACCAGCUUCCCUUAACUUGGUAACAACACCUGCAUCUCUUGGCACAACUGAUCCAAGCAAUGCAAAAGAGCCUGCAGUGGUGUUUAGCUUAUCCUUAGUUGCAAUGUUAUCCUUAACCAACAUAGGUAUUCCAUGUAACCUUGAAAGAGAACCAGGUGCUUUUUCCCUUCUCUCUUGAUCAGCUUUAUCUGCUUCUGCUAAUGCAUCUGGAUUGACCUCCAAGACUCCUUUGAGAACUGGGUUUUGGAUAUUGAUUUGAUUGAGAUAGAACUCAACAAGCUGUCUUGAUGUUAAUUGGUUUGUUUGAAAAGCUAGUUGAAGAUCUUGUACUGUUGCUUCCUCAAUUGAGAAUUCAGUGGCCAUGGUAGUUGAUUGCGUAGCAGGGAAGGUAACUGGUUGAAAGAUUUUAGAAAGGAAUCGGAAGAAAUUAAGGGCAAACAUGUGCAGAAUCCCAUUAGUCAACUCAUGAUGAAAUCAACCCAGUUUCUAUUCUAUACUCCAAUUUUCUUAUUCUUGGUCUUAAUGAUGUAUUCCCUGAGGUUUCAAAUAUUAAAAAAAUAAAAAAAAUACAAGUUAGCGACAUUUUAUUAAAUUAUAUUAGAUUUUCUUUCAAUUUUUUAAGUCAAAUUAACCCACGGAAAUGUAACCGGAAAGAAUCGAACAUAAAAUCUUUAAAAGAAUACAUUUCAAGGUCUCAAGUCAAUAUCACCGGACCAAUCUAAAUGACUUUUUUUUAUUAAAUUAUUCUUACUGAUUAAUUAAUUUUUUUAAAAGGCUAAGAAUAUGAUGUAUUAAAACAACUCAAUCACACCAUAAGAAAUGCUAUUAUAUGUUUACUAUCUAUACCAUAAUUAUACAAUGACAACUCAAAAUUUAAGUACCAACUUAUUAACUAUGUAUGGUUGGACUUUUCUUUGGACAGAUUUACCUUUUAUAACUUAAUUCUAUUUGAAUUUCAAUAUACAUCAUAAUUAUGAGAAAUUUUAAAACUAAUUCUUUACUUUAGUUUAACAUUUUUUUCUGUUACAAAUUUUCUCUUAAUAUCAUAUAGUAUAUUUUUUCAAAUUCAAAUGUAAAUAAGUUUGGACAACAUAGAUAUAACAAAAUACCACCAAAUGUUUAUUCAUAAAAAAAAAAAAAUACAACCAAAUGUAUUAUUUUCUUAAAAAAAACACCAAAUGAAUUAUUUAAAAAAAUAUUGUACGUUAAAGUAUAAAUACAACGAAUUACAGCAACAAAAACGAAUACUACAUGUUAGAAUGCAUUGUCAGUGUAAUAUUAUGAGUAAAUUACACUCCACUCCCCUUAAAGAUGCUUGAAUUAUACUCCCUCCUCUCUUAUGUUAAAAUAUACACUCCCCUCCCCUCUUAUUUAAAACAUAUUAGAAAACUUUUCACUCCCCUCCCCUCCCCUAAGGCUCUGUUUGGAUAAGUGAAAAUCAACAGAACGGAAUGGAACGGAAUGGAAUGGAACAGAAUUGAAUGGAAUAAAGAUUUCAUUCCAUUGUUUGGAUACUUUAUGAUGGAACGAAACUAGUUUUCCAUUCCAUUGUUUGGAAAGUUAACGGAACGGAACGAGUUAUAACUUUUUUAUUCCAAUUUUACCCUUAUAUUUAAAAGAAGUUGAAUUCUCUACUCAAUCCAAUCAAUAUGUUGUUAUUUUAGCAUCAUUUGUGAGUAGCAGUAACACGUGCAAUUUCAUUAAAAAAUAUCAAUAGUUUUCACUGACGUGAAUCCUUUGUAUACAAAGCUACUCAAAAACAGUAACAACAUGAGCAAUAUCACACUGAUAUAUGUUGCAUGUCUGCUACAAGCUAAUUGAAAUCCACUACAAGCAAAAUUUUAUUGGUAAAGCUAGCACUAACCACCCAUAAUAGAGGGUUCAUAAAUUAGAAGAAAAGCAUCAAACAUGAAUAAGAUGGGAAAAAAAGAAGAAACGUCACAAUUAAUUUGGAAAAAGAUGAAGAAAUAUGGGUUCAUAAAUAACAAGAAAUAACAAUAGAAAUCUUGGUUCAAAUAUUAGUAGAAGCAUCAAAUAUGAAGAUGAAGAAAUAUGAGUUAGCUUAUUGGAGCACAUUGGAACAAGAAGAAAUGAAGGAAAAAAAGAGAGGUAAUGGUGCACGCUAAAAUUGGGAAUGAAAAAUAAGGAUCAAGUUGUAAUUUUAUUAUUAGAGUGUUCCAUUCCAUUAGAUACCUCCCAAUUUGGGGGGAAUGAAAAAAUGACUAAAUGAGUGGUAUUUGGAUGGAAUGGGUUCCAUCACACUCCAUUCCAUUCCAUUCAUUUUUUACAUAACCAAACAAUGGGAUGUGGAUAUAUCCCACUCCAUUCCAUUCCAUUCCAUCACUCUCCAUCAAUCCAAACAUAGCUUAAGAGAAGCUUGAAUUACUUCCCCCUCCCCUCUUAUGUUAAAAUCUACACUUUACUCGCUCAAUAUAUUUUUCUUUUAAUAUAAUAAAAAAUCGAAUACAUAUUUUUCAUUAUAUUUUAUUCACAAAUUCUUUAACAUGUAGUUUUAAACCCUAUUAUAAAAUAUGAAACAAUCUAAAAUAAAAUUAAAAUAUGUGAAAAACUACUAAAGACAAUAAAGCAUGGUUAUUUAAAAUUUAAUUUUAUACUCUAAAUUAUAAAAUCAAUAGCAAAAUAUUUGAAUUUAAUUACGAUUGACGUUUAAAUUAUAAAGAAAUGAAUUAAUUUUUUUUAAAUGGUGGUUCAAAAUUAAUAUAUUAUCAUAAAAAUAUUUAUUUAUGUUAAAAUAGAUUAAAGUGUAGUACAUAUUUAAUUAUUAAGGGAGGAGGUUGUAAUUCAAGCAUCUUAUAAGGGAAGAGAGUAUACAUUUUACUUUUCAAGGGAGGGGAGUGUAUAUUUUAACAUAAGAGAGAGGUGGAGGAGAAUGUAAUUCAAGCAUCUUUGAGGGGAGGGAAGUGUAAUUUACUCAAAUAUCAUUUUACACAUGAAUCCAAUGUGAAUGCUUAUUCCCUCUCUCUCUUUUAUCCAUCUGACACAAAAUUGCACUAAAGUCACCGACAAAGUCGUUAAAACUCAAUCUGCCAUGUAGAGGUAAGGUAACAGAUUCUCUAACAGUUUGAUUAAUUUUCCCCCUCAAAUUGGUUGAUAAGAAAUUUUGUUUCAAAGUAAAGUGAUGCAUUUGUUUCUAAUUGUAAAGGCUUGUAAAUGUCUACUUUGUUGAAUGAAUGAUGGUUUCUAAGUGACUAAGAUCAAUGCUUUGAUAAUUCAUAUUGGAUUAUAAAUUAUUGAUUCUCAAUUCAAUUCAAGACAGUGAUGGAGAUACAUAGCUUCUCGUUAAUAUUAUCUUAUAGUAGUUUUAAAGUUACAGAAAUCCCUUUUUAGAUUCAAUUUCUUUCAUGAUAUUUUGACAUGCUUAAGAUAAUGUGCAUAUGCAACCCUAUUUUUUAUGCUGAUAUAUUGUACAGAAAAGAUCACAUUUUCUAAAAAGAUUAAGCCACUGUUGAUGAGCUUAAGAUAAUGUGAAUCUGCUCAACCUGAAAUCGAUGAUUUGAUAAUGCAGAAUAAUGUAGUACGAACUGUUUUACUACAUCAAAUUUUUAGAUAUAACAAAUCUGUCAAUAUCUGUUGCAUUUUCUGUUAAAGCCAUCUUAUUUGGUGAACUUCUCAUCAUACAUGUAGAAUCCUAAUUGUCCCGUUGAUUUUCAGACCAAUCAAUAAUGUUAUAAUUUAGACUUUCUUACAAAACAUGUAAUGUAAGCUCUUAAACUCAAUUUUCUAGUGGACGAGAAGAAGCAGUCAUAUUCAUGGGAAUUGGAGGGGUGUUCGAUCAAACUUCUAACUUCCGAAGGGGAGGUGGCUUUCUGAUCAAAGUUGCUUGCUCAAAUGAAUAAGCAAUUUCAAUCAACUUUGGAUCUGAGCCUUUCAAACCUCCAAAGCAAAUUCCAAAUGGCUGAUCCUUUUCAUAUCCUGCUGGAACAAUCACUCCAGGAUAACCUCCAAUGGCAAGUAUGUUACUAAAGGAUGCCAAAGGUAUUACCACAGCAUCAAGUUUAUUUCUUUUCAUCAGUUUUUCAAACCCAUUCUGUGACGAUCUUGUCAUAUUUAAUAAUGCUUGUUUCUCUGCUUUCCCAAUUCCGUUUGUCUUUUCAGCUUGCACCAUGAGAUCUUGGCCAUACUCAAGUUUCUCCUACAAUGUUUAUACAACAAUUAAGAUGCUAUCGUGAUCAAUGUUCAUAGCUGGACUUUAUGUAACAAAUAGGCAUGGCACAAAUAGUAACAAUCAAAUGUUAUCAGUUGAUUCUUACAGUCGUGAAGCAAACUGGUCGUAAAAAAUAACAUAGUUCUAAUAUUCUAUAUACAUACUCACCGAUUUUGGGUGUUUCUUGUUGAAGGCUAUCACAUCUGCCAAGCUUUUCACUGGUGAAGCAACUAAUUCUUUCAGGUACUUAUUCAAGGAUAAUUUGAAUUCAAAAUUCAAGGCAAUUUGUUCACUUUGAUCAGUGAAAAUUUCAACAAUGUUAUCAAUCUUCAAAUUGUCAAUCAAAACUGCACCUCUUCGCCUGAUUUUGAAGAAAGUAUACACACACAGACACAUAUGUGACUUAUUAAAGCUUCACUAGAAAUAUUAGUACUUGAAAAAUAAUAGUUUUAGACUUACCUUAACGUGUUUAGGUGUAGCUUAAAAGUUUUAUCCAGUAAGGUGUCAUUUCCAAACUCGUAGUAUAAUCUUACCACUCCCAAUCUCUUUCCUCUCAAUCCAUCUUUCUUUAGAAAUUGAGCAUAGCCACCUUUUGGGAUAUACUUUGAUGCUUCAAUUGUUGCCUUAUCAAAAGGGUCAAUACCUGCUAUGGUUUCAAGAACAUAAGCAGCAUCUGAUACAGUCCUGCAAAUUGGCCUAUACAAAACCACACAAUCAAUGUUUAAACAUUUAAUAGCAAAAUGUCUUUGGAGAGGAAAAUUGAGUUUGAAAAUGCAAGAGCAUGUUGACAUAAAGAAAACAUAGGUAUUGCCAAUUUGCCACAUAUAUUUAGGCUUACCCAACUGUGUCUUGCCUUGGGCUAAUUGGAACUACACCUGCUCUACUAGUGAGACCUACUGUUGGUUUGAUGCCUACUACUGAGUUCAUACAUGAAGGGCAUAAAAUGGAGCCAUCAGUUUCAGUACCAAGUGACACAGCCACCAAAUUUGCUGCUACUGAUAUUGCUGGCCCACUACUUGAGCCACAAGGAUCAUCCAACGUGUAUGGAUUCUGCACAAAACAAUGCACAAGUGUGAACUCAUUUUCUAGAAUCAUUCAUACUUAAGUUCCUAUGAGAAGGCAUAAUGAAGUUAUUACUUUAGGCCUCCAAAAAUAUUCACUCACUUUUUUUAGUUGGAAGCCACGUAAGGUAGUGUUUGGCCCGGCUUAUUUCUGACUUUUCUACACAAUAAAAGGAGAAGUUGGGCCAAACACAUUUCUUGAGAAGCACUUAAUAUAUAAAGUUGCUUAUUUUUAUAGUGUAAAAUACACAAAUAAAGUAGUUUUGCUAAAGUUGUUGAAACUAACUUCUAAAAGUUCUCGGCAACUUUUUUCUAUGUAUUCCCCUUCGAAUCCUAUUGAGCACGUUUUAUUUUUCAUUUUAAUUGAUUUUUCAGACGGCAUGCAUGUGCUCUUCAAUUGCUAAUUGCUAUGUAUUAUUUUUUGUUUGUUUUGAAUUUUAAUUUUUUAUAUUGUUUAGUAAUAUAUAUAAGGAAUUUUUUCUUUCAUUUUUAAAUAUUUUAAUAGUUAUUAGAUCUUAACAAGGCAUUUUUAUCCAAAAAAGAAUCAUAAGUGAGGUAAUCGUUUAUGAAAUAUCUUCAAAAAUUACUUAAAAUCAUAAUGUAUGAAUUUUUAAUUUUUAUAUAUCUUAAUCACCCCUUUAUCUAUAAUAUUUUUAAAAAAAUUGUUUCAUUUUCCCCUAAAAAAAUGAUUGUUUCUUUUAAAUAUAUUUAUUUAUUUAAUAAUUUCUUUUGAAAUAUGAACUUUCUUAAAAAUAAAUCAUUUAAAUAAAAAUAUUAUCAAACACUUGAACAUAAAAUAUAUUUUGAAAUAAAAAGUAGCAUUUACCAAACAACUUUAACUUCAUUUCUAAAGCUCAUAUUUUUAACUUUAAGUUUAAAGUAGCUUCUAUGCCUCAAAAAAGUUGGGCCAAACACACCCUUAGGACCUUUGGCACCCCAUUUGCUACACAUAAUAUUUCCACUAGCUUCAGUCCAUUAGACUGAUAAUGAGACUAAUCUCUGCUUAGGUGUUUUCGGUCUUAGCUUAAAACUCGUCACCAUGAAUGUGUUUAGUAGAGAUCGAACUGCAAAGUUCCCCGACAAGCUCAGUAGUGGUUAACAAACUGAACCUCACCAAUUGAGUAUUAUAUUAGUGAACAUUUUUUAUUUAUUAAGACCUCAAAAGCUAUCCAAAAGUCCAGCCUAUAACUCUAUCACUUAAGAUGAAAAGCUUUAUUUCAAAGUUCGAUUUAUCCCUCACUCAAUUUUGUGCCAGCUCUGGUUUAGCUAUAUGACUUCAUAAGUAUAUCAGAUUCCGAACAUCUAGACAAAUACAUAAUAAGCAAUGCUAGAAAACAAAAUUAAAAGAGGGAUAGAUUUGAAUUGAAAAGCCAGAUCAUGGUCAAAUUAAGUAAGAAAAAGUAGUAAAUUAUAUACCUUUCCUUGUCCACCUCUAGCACUCCAACCACUAGGAGCUCCAUUAGACCUGUAAUGUGACCACUCACUCAAAGUGGCCUUGCCCAAUAUAAUAGCCCCAGCUUUCCUUAACUUGUUAACUACACCUGCAUCUCUUGGCACUACUGAGCCAAGCAGUGCAAAAGAGCCUGCAGUAGUGUUUAGCUUAUCCUUUGUUGCAAUGUUAUCCUUAACCAAAAUAGGUAUUCCAUGCAACCUUGAAAGAGAACCUGCUGCUUUUUCUCUUCUCUCCUUGUCAGCUCUAUCUGCUUGUGCUAGUGCAUCUGGAUUCACCUCCAAGACACCUUUGAGAACUGGGUUUUGGAUAUUGAUUUGUUUGAGGUAAAACUCAACAAGUUGUCUUGAUGUUAACUGCUUUCUUUGGAAAGCAAGUUGGAGAUCUUGCACAGUUGCUUCCUUGAUUGAGAUUCCACUUGCCAAGGUUGUUGAUAGCAUAGAAGAGAGUGUAACUAGUAGAAGGGUUAUAGAAAGGAAUUGAAAGAAAGAGCUAGCACAUGCUGAGGCCAUGACUCCACGAGUCUUGAAAGUUGAAACCACCAAGCAUCUAUAAUGGAGUAUAUAUAGAAUAUAUUUCUGAAUUAUAGUGGAUAUUAAAAAAAAUUAAAUACCAUUUCAUCGUGUUUCACAUGCCCUGCCCCAUGGCAUUAAAUUAUUAUACUACUUAUGAUUAUGAUCCACUCCUGGGCCUUCAAAUUCUUAACAAAAUGGAAAUAUCAAUAACUCCAUAUUCAAGAACUAGAAAAUCAAAGGCAAAAUAUUAAUUUAUCCUAAUUUUUUUUUUGACAUAGUCUUAAACAUUUGUUAUUAGACUAUUGAGCUAAGUCACUACAUUUUUAGUCAAUUUUGUAAGAACAUUUCAUAAAUUACCUGUGGGAUUUUGUGACAAAUUAGCUUGGCAUAUUAUAUUAGAUUUGACACUUCUACGCAGUUUUCCCAAUAGAUAUGGUAGUAUGCUAAUAUCUUAUUAUUACAAAAAUAUUGAGUAAUAAAAACAGUAGAAAGGUUGCAAAAUUAUUGGAUUAAAUAAUGAGUUAAUGAGGGUACAAUGUUAUUUGAUAUAAAAAUUGAAGAUCACCAUAACACAAAAGAGUAUACAAAAGAAUAUCUCACUUUUUUAUUUACCACAUAUAUCUUUCAACGAGCCAAUUCUUAGAGCAUCUAAAUGUAGGUAUCUCUUAUAACGAGAAUUAGUAAAAGACUCGUACAUUCUCACGUGUCUCUUAAAAUUGAACUUUUUUAUCCAUCAAUUAUGACAUUUGUGACAAUUUUGGUUCAACUGGUAUUAUUAGUCUAAAAAAAAGUGAUUUUUGAGGUCAAAAUUCAAUUUUUUUGGGGGGUAACAUCAUUAUUUUUGGGACCAAAAUUCAUGGUUAGAAACCAAAAUGACAACAAAUGUAAUGAUGGUUGAAUUGAAUUGAAUGAUGAUGUGAUAUCCGAUUUAUACUUCAGAGUACAAUGUUGAGUUUGUUUGUUUCUAAUUCUAUAAGUUUGUUGAAUUGAAUGAAUGAUGGUUUCAAAGUGAGUACAAUGAUGAUGAAUGAUUCUCAAUUCAAGACAGUGAUGGAGAUGUAUAGAUUCUCGUUUGUAUUCUCUUAACACUAGCUUUGCUGUUAUGUAAAUCUAUUUUUAGUUUGAAUUUGUAACAAAAUUCCUUUUCAUGAUAGUUUGGCAUGCUUAAGAUAAUGUGCAUAUCCAGCCCUAUUUUUUUGCUUUACUAUUGUCCAGAAAAUAUCAGGUUUUUCGAAAAAAUUAAGCCAACUGUUGGUAGACUAGUGAGUUAAGAUAACAUGAAUCCGCUCAACCUGAAAUUAUAACAAAUCUGUUGCAUUAUUUUCUAUCAAGAUUUCCACGAGUAAAACUUCUCACUAUACAUGUAGAAUCCUAAUUGUCCCGUGGAUUUUCAGACCAAUCAACAAUGUUGGUGAUUAUUACGGAACAUGUAAUGCAAGCUCUUAAGAUCAAUUUACUAGCGAAUGAGAAGAAGCAGUUAUAUUCAUGGGAAUUGGAGAGGGCGUUCAAUCAAACUUAUAACUUCCGAAAGGGAGGUGGCUUUCUGAUCAAAGUUGCUUGCUCAAAUGAAUAAGCAAUUUCAAUCAACUUUGGCUCUGACCCUUUCAAACCUCCAAAGAAAAUUCCAAAUGGCUGACCCUUUUCAUAUCCUGCUGGAACACUCAGUCCAGGAUAACCUCCAAUAGCAAGUAUAUGGCUAAAGGACCAAAUAGGUGUUACUACAGCAUCAAGUUUAUUUCUUUUCAUCAGUUUCUCAAACCCAUUUUGUGACCAUCUUGUCAUGUUUAAUAAUGCUUGUUUUUCUGCUUUACCAAUUCCAUUUGUCUUUUCAGCUUGCACCAUGACAUCUUGGCCAUAC
rnacentral:lncRNA from 1 species